GUUGGGCGGGACCGGGCGGUUGGCUGUGGCUCCGUGGUUUCAGAUGGGGCACCGUGGGGAGCCAGGGAGGCGGCUUGGCCCAGCCAUGGCGUUGGUGCUGCGGAGCGCCGCCUCGCGCUACUUCGUCGUCGACACUGCGGGCUUCGCCACCGCCUACGCGAUGCCGCCCCAGGGGGAUCAGCAGCAGCCCCCCUCACUGUAGGGGCCCAGCCAGCAGGUCGGGGCCAAGCUGGGGCCCUGCGCCGAGUGCAGCGCCACCGGCACCAAGAAGUGCUCCGGGUGCAAGCGCAUGCAUAUUGGUCGGCACUGCUGUUGUCACCGGGCAGAAUGGCCGACUGGCCAUGGGCAGGCUCGGAGCCCUCUGCGAGCAGGUGAAGAAGCUUAAUU